UAGCGGAGCGUGUGGUUUAAUUCGUUGCUACACGAAGAACCUUACCUGGGUUUGACAUAGCAGUGGUAGGGAAGAGAAAUCGGACCGACCCUUCGGGGAGCUGUUACAGGUGUUGCAUGGCUGUCGUCAGCUCGUGUCGUGAGAUGUUCGGUUAAGUCCGCUAACGAGCGCAACCCGCGUUGUGUGUUAUAUGUGUCACACAAUACCGCCGGUAUUAAGCCGGAGGAAGGUGCGGAUGACGUCAAGUCAGCAUGACCUUUAUAUCCAGGGCUACACACACGCUACAAUGGACAGUACAACAGGUUGCCAAGCCGCGAGGCGGAGCCAAUCCUCUAAAGCUGUCCUCAGUUCAGAUUGCAGGCUGCAACUCGCCUGCAUGAAGUUGGAGUUGCUAGUAACCGCAUAA
rnacentral:rRNA from 1 species